CUUAGCAGGCAAGCUACAAGAUGCGAAGUCGAGCGGAUGAAGGGAGCUUGCUCCUGGAUUCAGCGGCGGACGGGUGAGUAAUGCCUAGGAAUCUGCCUGGUAGUGGGGGAUAACGUCCGGAAACGGGCGCUAAUACCGCAUACGUCCUGAGGGAGAAAGUGGGGGAUCUUCGGACCUCACGCUAUCAGAUGAGCCUAGGUCGGAUUAGCUAGUUGGUGGGGUAAAGGCCUACCAAGGCGACGAUCCGUAACUGGUCUGAGAGGAUGAUCAGUCACACUGGAACUGAGACACGGUCCAGACUCCUACGGGAGGCAGCAGUGGGGAAUAUUGGACAAUGGGCGAAAGCCUGAUCCAGCCAUGCCGCGUGUGUGAAGAAGGUCUUCGGAUUGUAAAGCACUUUAAGUUGGGAGGAAGGGCAGUAAGUUAAUACCUUGCUGUUUUGACGUUACCAACAGAAUAAGCACCGGCUAACUUCGUGCCAGCAGCCGCGGUAAUACGAAGGGUGCAAGCGUUAAUCGGAAUUACUGGGCGUAAAGCGCGCGUAGGUGGUUCAGCAAGUUGGAUGUGAAAUCCCCGGGCUCAACCUGGGAACUGCAUCCAAAACUACUGAGCUAGAGUACGGUAGAGGGUGGUGGAAUUUCCUGUGUAGCGGUGAAAUGCGUAGAUAUAGGAAGGAACACCAGUGGCGAAGGCGACCACCUGGACUGAUACUGACACUGAGGUGCGAAAGCGUGGGGAGCAAACAGGAUUAGAUACCCUGGUAGUCCACGCCGUAAACGAUGUCGACUAGCCGUUGGGAUCCUUGAGAUCUUAGUGGCGCAGCUAACGCGAUAAUUCGACCGUCCUGGGGGGAGUACGGCCGCAAGGUUGAAUACUCCAAAUGAAAUUGGACGGGGGGCCCGCACAAAGCGGUGGAAGCCAUGUUGGUUAAAUUCGAAGGCAAACGCGAAAGAACCCUUACCUGGCCCUUGACAUUGCUGAGAAACUUUCCAGAAGAAUGGAAUGGUGGCCCUUCCGGGAACUCAAACACCCAGGGUGCCUGCAAUUG
rnacentral:rRNA from 1 species